rnacentral:rRNA from 1 species
UUUGACCUCAAAUCAGGUAGGACUACCCGCUGAACUUAAGCAUAUCAAUAAGCGGAGGAAAAGAAACCAACAGGGAUUGCCUCAGUAACGGCGAGUGAAGCGGCAAGAGCUCAAAUUUGAAAUCUGGUACUUUCAGUGCCCGAGUUGUAAUUUGAAGAUUGUACUCUGGAGUUGGCCCUUGUCUAUGUUCCUUGGAACAGGACGUCACAGAGGGUGAGAAUCCCGUGCGAUGGGGAGUCCAAUUCCAUGUAGAGUGCUCUCGAAGAGUCGAGUUGUUUGGGAAUGCAGCUCUAAGUGGGUGGUAAAUUCCAUCUAAAGCUAAAUAUUGGCGAGAGACCGAUAGCGAACAAGUACAGUGAUGGAAAGAUGAAAAGAACUUUGAAAAGAGAGUGAAAAAGUACGUGAAAUUGUUGAAAGGGAAGGUUAUUAGAUCAGACUUGGUGUUUGGUGAUAUUCAGUCUCUUGUAGACUGUUCACUCGCCYUUCACUGGGCCAGCAUCGGUUUGGGUGGCAGGAUAAUGGCUGUUGAACGUGGCUUCUCCGGAAGUGUUAUAGCUUCAGCUGAUACUGCCUACCUAGACCGAGGACUGCGGCUUUUUGCCUAGGAUGCUGGCGUAAUGAUCUAAUAUCGCCCGUCUUGAAACACGGACCAAGGAGUCUAACGUCUAUGCGAGUGUUUGGGUGUAAAACCCGUACGCGUAAUGAAAGUGAACGUAGGUCAGAGCUCCUCGGAGUGCAUGAUCGACCGAUCCUGAUGAUUUCGGAUGGAUUUGAGUAAGAGCAUAGCUGUUGGGACCCGAAAGAUGGUGAACUAUGCCUGAAUAGGGUGAAGCCAGAGGAAACUCUGGUGGAGGCUCGUAGCGGUUCUGACGUGCAAAUCGAU